AUGUGCUAUCUCCGCAAGGACUCCGGACACUCCGCGAUUCUUUGUCCGGACCGUCCGGUGACGGACGAGCUCAUGAUGUACGGGCACGGCAUCGAGGACAUGGGCUUCUUCCACAUCGAGGUCCCGGAGCUGCCUCCUCCCUCCCCCUCGCUCCUGGCUCUCGUCACCAUCGUUGGCGAGGCCGUCGCCACCCCAGAGCUGAUUGAGGCCGAGCUCAACCACUUAUGCAGAUGCAAGUGGGAUUGGCAGGUGAUCGCCUCCACGGCCAACUCCUUCACGGUGAUCUUCCCCGACACUCUGAGCAUGGGCUUCAGUACCCGCAGCGACAACAUCACCUUGGCCCUCAACGGGAUUGUGGUGAACAUCUCCGAGCCGAAGUGGGAUCCCAAGGCCGUGGUGGUCCUCGACACGGCUUGGAUCCUCAUCGCUUCGAAAGUGGUGGUGGUCGACGAGCUUUCUCUCCGCAAGGAGGAGGAGGUCCGGGUCAAGGUGAAAUGCCUAGACUCCUCCAAGCUCCAUGCCACGAUUCGGGUCUUCUUCAACGACGACGGCUACGACCUCAAGAUCUGCCCCGAGCCUCCGAACCACAUCGGCCGCCCCCGCUUCUCCGACGACAGCCACUUGGGGGGCGGGCCUGCUGCCGACGACGGCGCUCACCGCCGCCGGUCCCGCCAUCCAUGCCUCGAGGAUCCCGAUGAUGACGAGGACCUGUCCGAGCGCUCUCGCUCCCCAUCCCGUGAGCCCGCCAACCCACCUCCGGGCCGGGGCGGAUCCGGGGCUGGUCGCACCCGUGUGUCGGCCACUAACCUCGAGGCGGCGCUCCGCCUGGCCUCUGCUCCAGCCGCGCCUACUUCGCCUCCGUCUGAGUCGGCCAGUGACAUCUCCAGCGUGGGCCUGCUCGUCAUGCCGCCGUCGUCGCUGCGCUCCCCCUCCGUCGAGCUAGAGUGUCUUAGUCCCCACCUCUUCGCCUGGCAUUGGCUCCCUUCUAGUGGGACCACUGGUCAUUCUGGCGGCAUCCUGUUAGGCGUGAAGGAUGCCACCUUUGAGGUUGGGGGCAUGGAUCGGGGGGAAUUCUUCGUGAGUAUGGAGAUCUUCGAGAGGGCCCUCAACUUCAAAUGGCAGGUCGUGAUUGUGUAUGGUCCGGCCGAUCAUCGCCGCUCCCCGGUCUUCUUGGAGGAGCUUCAUUUGAAGAUCUCCAACUCUCUCCUCCCAGUCGUUGUGGGCGGAGACAUUAACCUCAUCCGAUCCCCGGAUGAGAAGAAUAACGACCGGAUUAACCUCCCCCGGAUGCAGUUAUUCAAUGACUGGAUCGCGGAGCUGGGUCUCCGUGAACUGGACCGGACGGGUGCCCGGUUCACUUGGACAAACCGUCAGACUGACCCGACGCGAUCUGUUCUGGAUCGCGUCCUAGUUUCCCUGGAAUGGGAAUUACGCUGCCCCCUAGCCUCGCUUCGUGCGAUUACCAGGAUCGGCUCUGACCAUGUCCCCCUCCUCCUCUCCACCGCCGACGAGCGCCCCCCCUCCCCGCCACACUUCCGGUUUGAGCUCUUCUGGCUCAACCAGGCCAGCUUCCGGGAGGCUGUGGCUGCCCACUGGAUCUCUGCCCAGGCCUACUGGCAUCUGCGUGGUACCCAGCUGUGGGUACUCCGGGGAGAUGCCAACACCGCAUAUUUUCAGGCGGUGGCGAACGGCCGCCGACGCCGCAACUCCAUCCACUGCCUCUGGGAUGGAGAGACCCCUCUCGUCCGCCCCGCGGCCAUCCGCUCCCAUGUGGAUGGAUUUUACAAGGCCCUAUUUACCCCCACCCCUCGGGGUGGGGCUAGUCUCGCCCUCGACAUUUGGUCGGGUGCACAAUUGGUCUCUGAUGCGGCCAACGCCGCUUUAGUGGCCCCCUUCGCCGAGGAUGAGGUUUUCCAGGCUAUUAAAGGGAUGAACCCCGCCUCGGCCCCGGGGCCGGAUGGCCUGCCAGUAACGUUUUUUAAGACGUUCUGGCAGAUCAUCAAGCCAGAGGUCAUGGCACUGUUUGAGGAAUUCUUCUCGGGCACUAUGGAUCUUGGGCGCCUUAACUAUGGCAUCGUGACCCUCAUCCCCAAGGUCCCGGGUGCCUCCGACAUCUGCCAAUUUCGGCCAAUCACUGUGAUCAAUGUGAUUUUCCGGAUCUUGGCCAAAGGGUACGCCAAUAGGGUGACCCUGCUCGCGGAUGCCAUUACCCACCCGAAUCAAUCCGCCUUCAUUCAAGGCCGAUUUAUUCUUUAUGGGGUUCUGGUAUUCCACGAAGUCCUUCAUGAGGUCCGGCAGAGACACCAUCGGGCGGUGUUUCUGAAGCUUGACUUUCUUAAGGCCUACGACACGGUUCACUGGCCCUUCUUGCGGGAAGUGUUGCUUCGCAAGGGCUUCGACGACCGUUGGGUGACUAGGGUCAUGCAACUUGUCUCCUGCGGACGGACUGCUGUGAACAUCAACGGGGACAUUGGGCCCUACUUCCCCACCCUCUGUGGGGUUCGUCAGGGGGAUCCUUUCUCCCCCUUUUUGUUCAACAUGGUGGUAGAUGCUCUGGCGUCCAUCCUUGAUAAGGCCAAAGAUGAUGGCCAUAUUCAUGGCAUCGUCCCUCACCUCGUCGGAGGGGGAGGGGUCUCCCUCCUCCAAUAUGCGGACGAUACCAUUAUUAUGGUGGAGGGCUCCGCCCAUGACAUCGCUAACCUCAAGUUCCUCCUCCUGUGCUUCCAACAGAUGUCGGGCCUAACCAUUAACUUCGAUAAGAGCGAAGUGAUGGUGCUCGGGUUCCCCCCUGAGGAAGCACAGUCCAUAGCGGACCGCCUUAAUUGUAGGUUGGGUUCUUUCCCCACGACAUACUUGGGGAUCCCCAUCAGUGACUCGCGCCUCACCGUGGCGGACCUCCGCCCCACGGUGACCCUUGACCCUCGUAUCUCUGUCGAGGCGGCCCUUAUUGACUUAGGGCGCCUCGCCUUCCGACGCCCCUUCGGCCCUCCAGAAGUGGCUGCCUGGGACACCCUUAUGCAGGACAUCGCCCUCCUCCCUAUGGAUGGAGUUGGCUCCCCGGAUAUAACGUCUUGGCGGCUGGAGCCUUCUGGCUGCUUUUCCACCAAAUCCCUCUACGCGGCCAUCGCCCCCUCGACGGCCCCCGAACCCUUUAGUUUGAUCUGGGAUAUCUGCCUGCCCUUGAAGAUCCGGAUCUUCUUAUGGCAGUGGAUUCGCGGCCGCCUCCCAACUGGCGUGGAGGUCCGUAAGCGUAAUGGACCUGGGAACGGGAUGUGCCCCUUGUGCGACACGGUGGAGGAUGCUAACCACAUCUUCUUCGCGUGUCCUACGGCCCAGUUCCUCUGGUCCUGCUUCCGCGAGACAGUUGGGCUCUGGCGGCCGCUUAGCCGCCCCCAGGACCGGGACGUCAUCAACAACCUCAUCGCCGACCUUCGAUCGAUGGCCUUCAGCUUGGCGCCCCCGCUCCCCCCGCCACCUCCGGAGCCAGACUAG
rnacentral:rRNA from 1 species